rnacentral:rRNA from 1 species
CCUACGGGAGGCAGCAGUGAGGAAUAUUGGUCAAUGGACGAGAGUCUGAACCAGCCAAGUAGCGUGAAGGAUGACUGCCCUAUGGGUUGUAAACUUCUUUUAUAAGGGAAUAAAACGAGGCACGUGUGCCUUUUUGCAUGUACUUUAUGAAUAAGGAUCGGCUAACUCCGUGCCAGCAGCCGCGGUAAUACGGAGGAUCCGAGCGUUAUCCGGAUUUAUUGGGUUUAAAGGGAGCGUAGAUGGGUUGUUAAGUCAGAUGUGAAAGGUUGCGGCUCAACCGUAAAAUUGCAAUUGAUACUGGCAGUCUUGAGUACGGUUGAGGUAGGCGGAAUUCGUGGUGUAGCGGUGAAAUGCUUAGAUAUGACGAAGAACCCCGAUUGCGAAGGCAGCUUACUAAAGUGUGACUGACGUUGAUGCUCGAAAGUGUGGGUAUCAAACAGGAUUAGAUACCCUUGUAGUC